rnacentral:lncRNA from 1 species
UACAAAUUUAGUGACUUUAGAGCUGGUGAGAAAGUUUUAAAAUUCAUGGAUAAGAAUAUUCUUUUGCCAGACUAUUUCUAACUGAAAUUAAUCCUUGAAAGCAUUUUAUCCAAAUUAAGUUUCACACUCCUCUAAACAAUAGGUUUUCAAAUAUUCAUUCAGCAUAUUUAACAACAGUCUUUCCUUGCAUUGUGUAUAACCACCCUACAUGUGUGUAAUUGUGUUUGUGUGUUUCUCUGCAGGCUAUUGCUCUACUAAUGCUUUAUAUAGAAUCCC